rnacentral:lncRNA from 1 species
GAGCCCGAGCCGAGUUGGGAGGAGAGGUGGGGCGGUCCCGGAGCGCAGAGAGACCGACUCCCUGGCUGCGGCGGCGGUGGCGCCGGAAUGCUGGUCACCCUGCUGCACCGUUGCUUGGCACUUCAGACCAUGGAUGUAAAUUACCACUGGAUUCCAGCCCUUCUCCAGGGAAGCAGGCCACUCUAGAACAGUGGGAUUAAAUCUACUCAUGUCAAGCAGUCACUUUCAAAUAAGGAGGUUCCCCCACUUUUUAGAACAAAAAAUGUAUAUGUCAGCAAGGCCAUUUUUCAGUAAAUAAACAUGUGAUUCUCACAUAUUUUUAGUUUUUCUUUAUUUUUUUGUCUUUUUCAUAUAUGCGUACCCACUUACUCUACUUCAGCCGCCUUCCACUGACCACCUUCUUCCUUCCAACAAAAUUUUAAAAAGCAAUUGUAGAUUGCUAAGUGGACUUUUAGAUAAAACAUUCAGACUCUUUGCUUUCCUUAGCAGUUGGUCAGCACCUUAAAGCUAUUGGCUAAGUCCUCCAGUGAAUGCUGAACAGUAACUAUGACACAUUCAUUUUUUAGCACAAGCAGUUUACUAGGUGUAGAACCCCAGUGCAGUGCACGGCACUUAGGUUUGUAUAGAGCUGUGUAAAAAUGAGGGUCUGUGUUUCCUAAGAGACUGCAAGUGUGGCGUGGAAAGGUGGUAUAUGCACCUGUGCACCUGAGUUUAUUUGAAAGACAAAUUCUCUGACCGUUAGGUUGCUGUUGUCACUUUUCACAGAACAUACGUGAUGAUCUGGUUGUGAGAGCAAAGGGCUUCAGAGUAAAAGAGAGCUCUGGAAAACUUAGCUAAUGCCCAAUAAUUUUUGUCCCAAACCUCUCUCUAGUAGGAAAAAAAUUAGAAUGCCAUAACUUACUGUGCUGAGUUUUCGUUAGGUGGGUUUGUUGUUGUUGUGUCUGUCUGUUUUGUUUUAGUAUAAGCCAUGCCUAGGAAGAUAAGUUCUACAAAUAAUUUCUCUGAGCCCUGACUAGGAAGAAAAGUGGUUUCACAGAGGUUUCCUGUGUAGACUUUCUUGUUAGACCAGAAUGAGAAUAGUAUUUAGCCUUUUUCAGCCUGAUUUAUAAAGUAGGAGUAAUAAUGGUCUCAAUUUCUAGCGUUUGAAUGAAAGCAUAUCAGCUAGUCUUUCGAAAACAUAGGCUAAAACUAACAUAUGGGAAGUGCUUAGAAUGGUCACUUUCCUUUCUAUUUUUUUUUUUAACCUGGUUUACUCAGUCAACAGGAUACUGGGUAAGUUAUGAUAGCCACAACCUUCUGGAAAUGCCAGAUAUCACAAUUUUAAGUUCCAAAGAAUGUUAAAUGUUGGCAUGGUAACUCAGCAGUUGGCAAAGCUGAGGCAGGAGAAUUGCUAUGAGUUCAUACCCAGUCUAGACAACAUAGUAAGUUCCAGGCUAGCUUAGAACUAGAGUGAGAUCUUACUCAAAUAACUAGAAAGUUGAUCCAAUAUUUUGUGUGUGUAAAUAUGUAUUAAGCUUGUAUGUCCUGUUUCUGCCAUAGCAGUAUGAAUAAUGAUUGAUGAACCAAUAAUUUUAAUAAUGCUUUUGGCAUUGUUAAGUACAUAUUUUUAGGGCUAGGCAAUUAGGAACAUGAGUUAGCUUUUAAAUUUAAAGUGAGUUUUUAUCUCCAAUAGUUACAUUUAUUAAUCUUGAAUAGGAAAUUAAAUCAGAAAAGGAAGCAGCAUUUAUCUUUAACCAAAUAUGACUUUUAAGGUUUGAAAAGGUGCAAUCCAAGAGUAUGUUGAUGUUUGCUCUUGUGUGUAUGGCUGUACAAGGCCGGCAGAUAAGCCAUAAGAAGUGGGGACUGGUUGUGUUUAUUUUUGUGAGAGUGGAUGGAUAGUUAAUUCAGGGAAUGAACUCAUGGAGUCACUGAACCAUUUGCUAAAAUUUGCAAAACUUGAAAAAGUUUUUAUUUUAAAAACAACCCCCUUAAACACCUGUGUUUUUGUUGUUAAUACAUAUCAGAUAUGUACAAUCAAAUUGAUCUGGGCUGUAGCUCAUGUCAGUCAGGCUGACACAGAAAUACUAAUUUAUAAUGAUUUCCAGUAUAAAGCAUACAGUGUCCAUUAUGAAUUGUUUUUGGGCCCAUGUUUCAUUUGUUGUAAUGAAAGACUUGAUUGAAUAAAUUAUUGCUUGCUUUUAUUCCUAGAACUUUACAGCAUAUGAUGGAUUGCUAACUUGUGUUCCUAGGUGUGUAGGUUGGACGACUUGGUUAACUUCUCUUUUAUUGAGAGUGUGAGGGUUAAAUGAAUCUGUCUACAUAGACCAUUUCCUGACAUGUAGUCUAUAUUCAAUAAGUAUUAGCAUUAAUAUAUCUUUGUACAGACGAUGAGCUUGCAUUACUUUUAUAACAGGAAAAUGGCCACACAAAAUUUUCAUAUUUCUCUCAAAUCCAAAAAGGCUAUUAUUCAAACUGUCCUGCCAAAUUGUAUUUACAAAGAGACUAUGCAGUAAUUAGGCAAUAGUAUUUUGUCUUUCAAAUAUGAAAUGGGUUUUGAUAUCAGCUUACACAGCAAAUUAAUUCUAGAUCGUAAUUUCAUUUUCCUUUCUAACCUGUAACUUCAUGAAUGAAGUUUUUUUUUUUUUUUUUUAGGUUACACAGUUGGAAGACCGGUACAAAUAUAAUGCAUUAUUAACAAGUGCAGCUAGCUAUGUAUUUUUGUUAAGGCUUUAAAGGAAAUACAGAUAAAUAGAUGCCUCCAUUUUUCUUCCAGUAGGCAUGCACAUAUAACAAAUCAUUUGUAAUAGUUACUCAAAAUAAAUUCUAAUCUAUAACCGAAUAUAGCAGCAUUUUGUUGACUUGGGGCCG